UUUACAUAUAUAUAUUUAUAUAUAUAUUUACAUUUAUAUAUAUAUAUUUAUUAUACCUUAUUAUUUAAUAGAAAACAAUUGACUUAGACGUGUUGCGAACUCGAAUCGAUAAAGAUAAUGAGAAAACAAUUUAUUUUUUUAAUUUGUUUUUAAAUUAUGUAUGUAACAACUUUCAGUUUAAAUAUAAACAAGGGUUAAAUGAAAUACUAGCAUUUUUUUUUUCUCUUAAAGGAAAAUACUUUAACAUGGUUGAUGUUUAUUUCUGUUUUCAAAAUUUUGUUAAAGGAUUUGUUAAAGAGUUUUAUUAUGAUGAUGAAUUUUUUUUUUUGCAAGUCUCCUUUUAUUUGUUUAAAAUUUUGAUAAAGUAUCAUGAUCCGCAGUUAGCUGAAGUAUUAGGUAAAAAAAAAAAAAAAUUAAGUAAAAAAAAAAUUAAGUAAAAAAAAAAUUGAGUAAAAAAAAAAUUAAGUAAAAAAAAAUUAAGUAAAAAAAAACUAAGUAAAUAUAAAUAAAGUAAAUAUAAAAAUCGUUUUAAUAUUAUGC
rnacentral:lncRNA from 1 species